CCUCUUCAACAGAACUCUGGUGCAGGCUCUGCAUGGGUCCACUCUUCUUAGGGGAACUGUUUUUCACCCACCUCAAGGACUCUGGACCAAGAAGAGACCGUAGUGAAGAUGAAAUAGGAGAAUGGAUUAUGUAUGUAUAGAAGAAUCAAAAAAGGAGGUAAGGUACAUGUGUCUCUGUGUGCAUGCUUCUGUAAAACUUGCUGUGCUUUUCUGCGGGGUCUUAUUUUAUGCUUCUCAAAGUAACAAUGAUUAUUAUCACUGAUUACAAUGAACACUAAACAAUGUACAGUUUGAAGCAGAAGUUCUUUACAACUUGACUGAAGCAAACACAACAUUCCCUGCAAUGUUGUGAUAUUCUCUGAUUUAUAGAUGUAGAGAGUUCUUGUUUUCUGAAAUAUUGGGCUGUUCUCUUUACUAACACACUGCUGUUCUCUGUACAAAGGUUGAUAAUCUGUGUACUACAGAAGUAAAAUAACAUUAUGGUUGAACUCAGUGCUUAUAGGGUUAUGCAGCCAAUGAAAAAAGUUGUGAAACCUUAGUGCUGUCACCCACAACUUUCUUUCCAGUUUUCAAGGGCUGAACUUGAGUCUUUGUCUUGUGCCAUGACAAUUCUAUAUAUCUAGUCAUUGAACAGUCUGUCUGUUUUUGUGAGUCACUCAGUUCAUUUCUGGACAAUUGAGAAAAAGAAAAUCAAUAACAUGAAAUUAGAGGAUAAUAGCAUGGCCAUCUGAAGGAUUAGUCAAGCUUCCCAUACAAGCAUAUCAAGAAUCUCUGUUCAUUGUGACAUCUACCUAUGAAAUAAGUGUAUGAACAGAAAAGCUGAAUUUUAGUUCCCGAUGCAGAGGAUAUGAUUUCUUCAGUAGUUCUUCUGGAAUCUGGGAAGAAGGAGCAUAGGUACGAGGCUACAAUAUUUAGCUUCUCCCUUCCAGAGGAAGCCCUAGAGAAAUGAAAAAAUGCAUCCUUCAUAUGUUGGUGAGUUUACUUGCAUAAAACAGGUCAGCAUAUUCCUAUCUUGCUUAAGACACCUGAAGAAUAUCUAGUACUAUUACUUAACAUCCACUGGUGUUAGACAAGGUCUAAAUAUUUUGUAUGUGGUACCGAAAUAAUGCAACAAUAUCUGUGCUGAUUCCUGAAGAUGGUACUUCCAAAGUAUUAUCUAUCCUCUUUUAGGUCUUUCUGAAGAUGCAAUAAAUUAUAUCCAUUACUAUUUCUCUCAACUAUACUCUCAGACUGUAAAGAAUCUGGACAAGAAUCUCUCAUGUAGACCUCUAGUUACUGAGGCAUAACAUUGUCUACAUUACAGGCUCUAUCUAGAAAGGCCAUUUUUUGUGACAUCCCCUGAAUGUGAAUUCCUUAGAAUUUCCAAUGAAACUUUCUUAGAAAUGAAAUGAAUAAGUAGGAGCUAGAGCCAUAGUGAUGUAACAGGGUCUUUAUGGUGGGACUCAGCGAGUUUCUUCUGUAGAUCUUUUCCUGUACAUGCUCUCCUACAUUAUUUAUAUGCAUUUGUUGGAAAGCACAGAUUGAAUACACCAACCAGAACCUCUUCACUCACCUUGUUGAAAAGUCUUUUUUCUCUAAUGCCUGUCACAGCUCUUUGGCUAUAUCUGUGCAAUUUUUUUUAAAAAGGAAAAUAAUACAGUCGGUGUCCAGCUGAAUAGUUACAAGAUUUUUUGUCAUAAGAUAUGUUGAAAGCUCUUAAGAUGUUUAAGGGAAAUAAUCAGAAUUCAGAGUGUAUAUUAAAUUAUCAACUAUCUAAUAAGUGUGCUACUUCCCAGCUGGGAUCCUCCUGGUACGUUCAUUCAUCUUCAACCAGUGUAAUUAAAGACGAAAGGUGCAACACUGAUGAUUCUUCUCUAGAGAUCUCAUCAGUUUAAUUCUAGAACUAUCAGUGGAAAAGGAAUAUCACAUAAAUUGUUCCGACUUAAUUGGACACCUGCUGGAGGUCAAACAAAACACCAAGGUCUACUGAAAUAGGGACUGCCUUCUGUAAUUCAGUAAUUUGGUAGGAGAUGAUUUGGCAAGGCAGUGCAAUUUUUGUUUCAUGCCUUUUAAAACUAAAUUAGAUCUGGUUAACAAAAACCAAACCAAAACAACAACAACAACAACAGCAACAAAAGAAAGAAGUGGAAAACAUCAAGAGCAAGCAGGAAUGUACUUAAAAUCUCCCCGUGAGAAGUGAUAGCUUGCUGCAUUUAGCAAGUGAAUCAAAACCUACAAUGCUGGGGUUGCAUUAAGAAGCUUCCUACUGGUGCAAAAAGGGUGUGCAGAAUUACUCCUGAUUUAGAAAAACUUUCUUAAAAUUUCCUACUCAGAAAGUAUGUCAUAGGUAAUGAGUAAAUGAAGAUUUUUCUUCUCAAUUGUAAUUUUAAAGCAUAUCAGUGCAUUAUGAUGCAGUAGAAAUACAACUCUCUUUAAAAAUAAUUUUGUCUGGUGCUGUCAAAAAUAAUUCUUCUUGAUGAUGUCACCAGACCCCCUUGUUCUGUUUAUAGUAGUUAUUUAAAUCACUGUUUCCAUAAAUGUAUAUGAGUGCCAUGAGGGUGUCUAUAUUUGUUACUGAAGGUGUCUCAAGAAUCUUGAAGCAAUCUCCCAAUCUAAUUAAGAGUGCUACAAUUUCAGCACAAAGAGCUGUGUUGCCAGUAUUAAAGGUUCAAAAAUUGUGAGUCAGGGCCUCAUAACUCGAAACUGAACCCAAAUGUAAAUAUUUUGAAGUGUAUUUCUUAUGUUUUGGACUUGCUUUUAAUUAUUCAGCUCUACCCCUUGUGCAUUUGUGUGUGUGUGUACGUGCAUACAUGUAUGCUGCUGUAAUUCUAGUAUUGUGUUUUGUACUGCUCUCCAAGACCUGCAAAAGAAAGAAAUGAGAAAAAGGAACAGAGGAAACAUUUUCACAUGAGAAGAAGAGGUGAGGCAGUAUCUUGAUUUUCCAGGCUCUUUUUGCCUCUUCCUCCUUUUGAUGCUCAGGUGAGAAGUUAACGUUCCUAACUGUUGUUCAGCCAGAAACAGAAAAGUAUGUGGUGAAUGGAACAAGCCCUGGACUAGGACAUCAGUCUCUGUGUUUGGAGAUCAAGCCAGCACCUUCCUUGUACUGUUUAUAGGACAAAGAUAAGAUUUGGUGAUAAUGGUUUGAGCCCAUGUGCUGCAGGACACAGUAUUUAUGAUGCAUUACUUUUGUUCUACGACUGCAGCAUUCAAGUAAUGGAUGUAAAAAUGUUGCUCAGCUUUCACAUUGGUGUUGACAAUUUGUAUCUGAUUCUUCAAGACAAACCAGAAUAAAAGAUUCUCUGAUUGGAUAAAUGGUUGCAAGAGAUAAGUUCUGCUUUUACAGUUUACUAUAGCUGAUGUUAUCCCCAGAAUUUCAAUUAGUGAAUUACCAUUGCCAACUGUCAUAUCUUUUGAGGCAUUAUGAAAGCUUUGCAUCAGGAAUGGCUGCAUUACAGCUUCAUACAGCACAGGAGCUGCUGCUUGUGGAUAGAAACACUUGAUUUAAAAAAAAAAAAAAAAAAAAAGAAGCUUUACAAGUAUUAUUUUAUGUCCCUAUAAAAAUAUUUUCAUACUUCAUUCUUUUCUUCAGACUCUUAAUCAUGUUGCUUCUCUGUGCAUGCUCUUCUAAAUCCAACCCUCUUUUGAUAAUCUCUCCUUCAAUAAUCCAUUCUUCUCUUAGCUGACUUGAAGACCCGAGCCACUUUGCUCCUUUGUGAUGCUAGUGACUUUCCCAGAGAUAUCAUCUGUAAGUAAACUAAUGUGAGAAGCUGAGUUUAAUGAAGCUUUGAGUAUGUCUGUUAUUUGAUUUUAUCACUUCAGUUUUGACUCCUUUUCUCACUAAUUAAUGUGUGCUGAUAGUAUACUGUCCAUACUUGUUAACUUGGCCAACCACCAUGACAACAUAUUCCCAUUAUCACCAACUGUUUGUACCUUGUCUACAUUGCAUUUUGGCAGUGAAGUAGAUUCCUAUAAUUUUUAGCACUAUAUUUUAAAGCUGGAGAAUAUGGAUAUGCAAACAGCAUGGUCUUUUGCAAAGCCCUUUGGAAUAAUGCAAAAACAACAGGAUGGGGGUUCUUUUAAUGUUAUCUAAAACACAGAUAAGCCAUAUUUGCUUGGUAUUUAUGCUUAAUCUGUUGUCAACAGACAGAAAAACAGUAAUCAAAAUUACUUUUAGGACUCAUUUUGUCCAAACAGAGGAAUAUAAGAUAACUAGGAGAAAUUAUCCUCUGCAGGUGACCACAGUACAGCUUCUCUCGAUGCAAGGAAAAGUCUGUGGUCCAUGCACUACCAUUCUGAUUCCAGCUCAUAGCUGUGACACAACAUCUUUUUACUUGUAAUGAUACAGUCAAGGAAACUGUCACCUUCAGCCUUGUAUUGACUCAAUAGUUCCUGAAAAAUGUGCAUACAUUGUUCUUUCUGCUCCUGUAUGAGCAUUCAUGAGACUCACCUGGCAAAAAAAUUGCAAUAUUCCUAUGUUGCCACUACUGUUUCCAAUGCAUUCAAACUGACAUUCAGCUCCUUACAAAGUUCCUUGGUUGUAAUCCGCUGAUUUGCACAGAUGAGUUGAUCAAGACAUUCUUCAUUUCAUGGUGUGACAGUUGUGUAUCGCCAUUCAGAAUAUGAGUUGUCUUUCACGCUGCUGUCACUACCCCUGAAAUGCACCACCCGCUGCCUCACUGUGCUCACAUCCACUGUUUGAUCUCCAUAAAUGUUCAAGAAGCAUCAGUGAAUGUCAAGGGGUGCAAUUUUUUCUACAAGGAGGAAUUCAGUACCACACCUUUGCUUCAUCCACGCUUGCAUGUCAGAUGCCAUUUUUUUCACACUGCCCCUCUGCUGGUGUCUGUCACAUGGUAACAAAAUGCAACAAUAUUGAUAGGAAAAUUCAGCCUUUGCUGCCAUGUCGCCAGCAUCUGCCUCUGAGGUAGUGGGACAAUAUAUUAAAAGAGGAAGCAUUACUUUUGGAGUAGCCCUCAUAUUUUUGUCCUUGUUCACAGUGCAACUGAUGAGUAUAAGCAGUUAUGUUCUUAUUGUGUGAGUCAAAAAGCAGCCUCCUGCAGGGAUAAUACACAAUUCCCUCAUGUUCAGUCAGCCAUAAUGCCUCAAGAGGUGAACCAUAUUCUGCUACAAGUAAUUUUGGUCUUUUUCCUUAAUAAACACAGUCAGAGCUCAAGACCUAUAUUUUAACAUUAGUGGAACAGCUGUAUUGCUAACCCUUAAUAGCGCUUGACCUGUGAUUAAACCUUUUCUGUUAAAAUUCCUCAGUUCCAGUAUUUUUCCCUUGUGUUAACACUUUAAGAAGGUGAAUUUGUCCUUGAGAGAACAAAGUUCUUCCCUCCAGACCUCAUACAUUUUUCUGGAAAUCUCCUACCUCACAGUUAGGUAGCUGUGGGUCUCAAUGUACAACGUAAGUUCAGUUCCACCAAGGUAUUGUACUGGUUAAUACAGUGAAAUGUAUACAAGCCCCAUUUAUUAUCCAUGACAACAAUGUAGAUGUUCUGAAUGCUAAGUGAUUUAUUUAAUGAAGAAUAUAUUAAUUUUUCUCAUCUUGUCCAGAAACACUUAGUGGCCAGUUCUGGCACUGAGAUGUAUAUGAUAGCAAGUAAAUAUGGCAUUUUAGUCAGCAAUUAAACAAAAAAUUGCUAUAAUUUUAAAUUCAGCUAUUAAGUGUACUGCUCCUAUCUAAAGUAGUACUUGGCUAAGAGCUGUAACUAAUCAAUUUUUAAAGGAGUUUGGUUGGUGGUCUCAGGGGAAAUGAGGUAGUUUGUAUGAAAACAUAUUAAUUAUGGAGUUUCUUCUGUAAUGAUGCAUGACAUUUAGAGUAUUGAUGUAGCAACUUCUCCAACUUAAAUCAUCUAACAAGCAUUUCUAGUUUUAUCUCAUCUAUCUUGAUUGUUGGUUAUAUUUAUUACAGAAUGAAAAUAAGAUUUUAGAUUUUUAAUUAUUAGCUAUAACAGAUUCCAGAGUAGCUCAAUGAAUAAAAUUCUUUGUAAAAAGCAUAUAGCUACAGCAGAUUUUUGCUGAAUGGGACAUUUGUCUUUCUCCAAGAUCAAUAUUACUUUCCUCUUCAAUGUGUCAUAUUUUGCUCUGAAGUGAACAGAAAACUUCUUCAUGGAAAAGAUUUUACAAUUCUGACAUUAUUUUUAAUUUGUUUUAGAAUGUCCCUGUUAGAAUCUUUGAAGUAAAUCAAUAUUUUAGCAUUGUUUAUUAAUAAAAAAACCCACAGUUUUUAAUGAAGAAGUAAAUGCUGUACCUUUCUCACGGAUUGGAGCGACAUAUCUGACUAUCUGGUGCAGAAGUUCCUGCAUUUUGCCUGCGGAAAGAAGGGAAAAGCUAGAGCUGCUUCCAGAUUAUGUGGGCAAGGUUGGUCCUGAAGGUUCCUGUGCUGAAGAAAGCUGAACACACGCCGUCGUGGUACGACACUGCAAAGACUGAAAAGCAAAUGGAAGGACGGACUGUCAGGAUUCAACCCAGGCAUGGUGCGCAUGGUUAGUGUAAGACACAGCCUGCUGGUCUUCAUAUGGCAGAAAGCAGCAAGGCAAAGAACUGAGGUGGAGCUGCCUGAACCUGUCUCCUCUACCGAGCGCAAAAGGGCAUGAGCAUGUACAAGCUUCGGUUUACUGCAACAUAGCCUCAAACACGUCACCCUCGAAACAGAGAUCAUUCAAAGCUGUUACAGAAGAACGAAAGUGAAAAGCUUCCAAAAUAUUUUUUCCUUUUAAUCAUUGCUCCUUGAAGGACAGGUCCUUUCCUCCAGCUCUGUUCUCACUCGUGCCUUCCCUUGUCACAGAAAGCUCUGUAUGAAAAGCCUGGCCUUUGGUCUGCCCCCUUUGUGUGCCUGCCUUCUACUCCUUGGGUUCUCUGUCGCCGAAUCCCUGAAGUCUAGGCUAUUCCAGCUGAAUGUUCUAGGGACAGUCUCCUAUUCCUGCCAGAGAGCUUUGUUCAACCCAGCAAGCACCACCUCACACAAAUCCCACUGACAACUUUCCCUUCUGGCUUCUUAAUAAACAGAGCAUUAAACACAGCAGACAGUAAGCUGUGGAUAAACAGAUAAAACAGGGACCAGCUUCUCUGUUUUGUGUAUCAGAUGUUGCAGUAAGGAUUAAAGGAUGUGUUCUGGUAAUCCUGUUUCUUCAAGCAACUCACUAAAGUAAGAUUUCCUCUUUGUGAGGGUAACGCAUUUCAAAGAGGAUGUUAAUUUACAAAUAUCUCUGUUUCUCCUGUAUUUUUGUAACGGGUGAAAUCUAUACAUAGGUAAGACUGUUUCAGGCAGCCAUUUCAAAUAUGUUUACUGAUCUUUGAAGCUAAGGAUCUUUUGUGAUGGUAUCUUUCAGAUUCUUCACAGACAUUGUACAACAUCACUUUCAGUUAAAAUAAAGUUAUUGUUAGUGCCUGUAUCUGAC